rnacentral:rRNA from 1 species
ACGGAGGGUGCGAGCGUUAAUCGGAAUUACUGGGCGUAAAGCGCAUGCAGGUGGUUCAUUAAGUCAGAUGUGAAAGCCCGGGGCUCAACCUCGGAACUGCAUUUGAAACUGGUGAACUAGAGUGCUGUAGAGGGGGGUAGAAUUUCAGGUGUAGCGGGGAAAUGCGUAGAGAUCUGAAGGAAUACCAGGGGCGAAGGCGACCCACUGGACAGAAACUGACACGCAGGUGCGAAAGCUUGGGGAGCAAGCAG